rnacentral:rRNA from 1 species
CCUACGGAGGAAGCAGUGAGGAAGAGUGGUCAAGGGACGGAAGUCGGAACCAGACAGGACGCGUGAAGGAAGACGGAUCUAUGAGUUGUAAACUGCUUUUGUACAAGGGUAAACCUGAAUACGUGUAUUCAGCUGAAAGUACUGUACGAAUAAGGAUCGGCUAACUCCGUGCCAGCAGCCGCGGUAAUACGGAGGAGCCAAGCGUUAUCCGGAUUUAUUGGGUUUAAAGGGUGCGUAGGCGGAUUGAGAAGUUAGAGGGGAAAUGUCCGAGCUUAACUCGGGAACUGCCUCUAAUACUGUUGAUCGAGAGAGUAGCUGCGGUAGGCGGAAUGUAUGGUGUAGCGGUGAAAUGCUUAGAGAUCAUACAGAACACCGAUUGCGAAGGCAGCUUACCAAUCUAUAUCUGACGUUGAGGCACGAAAGCGUGGGGAGCAAACAGGAUUAGAUACCCGAGUAGUC